rnacentral:rRNA from 1 species
UACGUAGGGGGCUAGCGUUGUCCGGAAUUAUUGGGCGUAAAGAGCUCGUAGGCGGUCUGUCGCGUCGGAUGUGAAAACUCGGGGCUCAACCCCGAGCCUGCAUUCGAUACGGGCAGACUAGAGUUCGGUAGGGGAGACUGGAAUUCCUGGUGUAGCGGUGAAAUGCGCAGAUAUCAGGAGGAACACCGGUGGCGAAGGCGGGUCUCUGGGCCGAUACUGACGCUGAGGUGCGAAAGCGUGGGGAGCAAACAGG